AUUUAGGGUGAUUCCAGACUGGUUGGUGAGGAUUGGGCUGGAAACUCCCCAGUUGGUCCUUAUUACCAUUAUGUCUCACACCUGACUGGAUCUGCUCAGAGGUUUUUAGGAUGCUCUGGAGCAGAGACCUGAUGGCGAUUCAUGAAUCAGCACCAGGAGGAAGAGCCCAUCCUUGUCUGCUCUGCAGGGCCACGAAGACCAGCAGGAUAUGAAACAACACUUCCACUACCUUUCCUCCAAGCCACUACAUCAGAAGUAUUAAUGAAGAUGGAAAAACUGAAGGCCUCCCCUGGCAGAAGCUACCUUUUCUUUGUAAUAUGGACAAAAGUCAAAUAUAUUCUGGAUAUGAAAUCUGCUAUGGAAUCUUCUAAGGGUUCCAGUGGGACAACUUUUGUGACUGAGCAAAGAGAGGCAUCAUACUGCCAACAUACUGCUGGCAGAUGGCAGCUGCAUUUAACUGAUGACAAGAUUAAGGUAGGAACUGAGCUCAAGUGGGUCAAGGAUAGAAGCUUAUAAAGGUCGCAUAGAAACAUAGGAUGUUGAAAAAAAUUUGGAAGGUAAACCUUGAAGUGGACAGUUUCAAAGGCAAGAAACAAUCUUUGAUCUUCAAAAUUUUAUAAAUGAGAGAAUACUGUCUGUUGGACUCAUCACGUGUCCAAACAUACAGGAUUUUGAAGUAUCAAAACCCUGAAGAAGGGAAACAAAAAGGGACAUUAUUCAGAUGGUAAGCCCAAAUGACAGCGUGGAUGUCUCUGAUGGUUUUAGUGGGCUUUAUACUACAACUUACUGAUGUAAAAAUAAACUUUUUGAAUUUCUAGCUGAAUUUCUGGAAAUGAGGGACGUGAUGUUCAGAAAAAAAAACAACAAAUAAAAAGUGUGAACCUGCAGUAAGAAAUGCUUCAGAUUGUGCAAGUUUCUGAAAGCAUCGCAGCCUCAAAAACAGAGGAAUGUUUUUAGGUAGGAGGAAGUAAUGAAAAACAUCUAAAAUGCUUUUGUUGUGUUUUGUUGGUUUUUUUUUUUUUUUUUGACCUUUUACCAAGUGCUCCAGGCCUGCAUUAAAUGUUUGAUAAACCAAGCUGAUGAGUCCUUGUGAUGGCGACUGUGGGCAAACAAAACUUGGAGUCCUUAGCUGGGCCCUGCCAUGGCCAGCCAAGCCUGGGGAAGAUCUUCAGGCAAGCACUUGAUAUAGAUUCCAUGUGUGCUCUCAAAGCUAUUGGAGCCAAUGUGUGACAGCCAGAGGAAAAAGAGGAGUGGACGCUGGACUUGGAGAUGUCAAGGCAGCCAUGUACAGCGAGGAGUCAUGCAGCCAAACAGAUCUUUGCUGGCAUAUUGAAGACUCACGGAGAGAAGCGAGGAGCAGGAAGGAUAAGAUGGGAAAAAUUAUGAGAUGAGGAACUGCAGACUGAUGGAAGAGCUGACCUGCUUUUGGGUAAGCUUAUAAAUUUUAAAAUAAUCAGAGCUGCUAUUGUUUGGGGCAGCUUGGAUAACUCUAAGUACCAUCAUGCCAUCAAACCCCAUGUUUUCAUUUGCAACUGCUGGAACUAGACUGUCCUAAUGACGUGGAAAAGGGAAAAGGCCCCAAGCCAACUUUUGAUAUAGCAACAGGGAAUUGUAAUGCACAGGAUUUCCUGCAUGUGCUUGUCUGUGGACAAUGGUGUGGAACAGCUAUAAUGAGUAAUGUGACUUCUGAAAAUGAUUUACAGGUCUUAAUUAGAAUGGUUUGCUCUUGCCUACUGCUCUUCACCAAUGAACCCCAAAGAGCCCAAUGAAAAAACAUUG
ensembl:lncRNA